GGCUUGGCACCCACUGCUCCCAAAAGGUGGGAACCAGACCCUGAAAGAUCCCACGCAGAGAGACCCUUACUCAAGUCUUGGGAAAUCUCGGACCCCAGACACAGAGAGACCA
rnacentral:pre_miRNA from 14 species